rnacentral:misc_RNA from 1 species
UUUCCGUAGGUGAACCUGCGGAAGGAUCAUUACAGAGUUCAUGCCCUCACGGGUAGAUCUCCCACCCUGGACUAUUUAUACCUUAGUUGCUUUGGCAGGCCGUGGAAACACCAUGGUCUCCGGCUUAUGCGUGCCUGCCAGAGGAAACAAACUCUGUUUUUAGUGAUGUCUCAGUACUAUAUAAUAGUUAAAACUUUCAACAACGGAUCUCUUGGUUCUG